rnacentral:rRNA from 1 species
UACCCGAUAUAUGGAGAUGGCUGGAAUGGUACUCCACUUAAAGCUCCGGCGCCUAAGGAUGGAUCUGCGGCCUAUUAGGUCGUUGGGGGGGUAAUGGACCUCCUAGCCUAUAAUCUGUACGGGUUGUGAGAGCAAGAGCCCGGAGAUGGAAUCUGAGACAAGGAUCCAGGCCCUACGGGGCGCAGCAGGCGCGAAACCUCCGCAAUGCUAGCAAUCGCGACGAGGGGACCCCAAGUGCCACUCUUAACGGGUGGGUUUUUCUUAAGUGUAAAAAGCUUUUGUAAUAAGGGCUGGGCAAGACCGGUGCCAGCAGCCGCGGUAA